AAAUGCAGGAGUGAUACUGCACACCAAACAAGCCCGAACGUAAUCGCCUAAUUAAAUCAUUUUCAUCUAAUGAAUAUAAGCAACAAAAUAAACUGGCAUAGCAGCGAGUCAGGGAGUGAUUCCAAUGGAAGCAACUGCAGAGGUGGUGUGGCCGUGCCGGGACUUGCAGAGCUUUUCUGCUUAUUUUCAAGUGACGCCCGUGUUGGCACCUUAGCUCCAGGUGAGGUAUGACAUAAAAAGACGAGAUACUUUGAGAUUAAAAAAGAACUGAACCAAUGAACUGGAAUGGGGAAAUUAUGAAGAGUGACAAUUCAAAAGAGAAACAUUGAGUUUUGACAAUAUCUGUGAAUGUUCUCUGUGGUUUGUGCUGAAAACUGAGAUGCUGCCUUCCCCGAUGUUUGUGUGAAUCUAAUUUUAACCUAACAAGUUGUAAAAAUAACAUUGUCUAUCAAAUGUGAGGAGACAGAGGACUGUGACUUUUCCU
rnacentral:lncRNA from 1 species